CCCAGGGCUUGCGCCCUGGGCUAAGCUCUACCGCCCCGCCGGGGCU
rnacentral:sRNA from 1 species